rnacentral:rRNA from 1 species
AGGGCACCACCAGGAGUGGAGCCUGCGGCUUAAUUUGACUCAACACGGGAAAACUCACCCGGCCCGGACACCGUAAGGAUUGACAGACUGAGAGCUCUUUCUUAAUUCGGUGGGUGGUGGUGCAUGGCCGUUCUUAGUUGGUGGAGCGAUUUGUCUGGUUAAUUCCGAUAACGAACGAGACUCUGGCCUAUUAAAUAGGCGAUACAUAGAAAAGUGUAUCGAACUUCUUAGAGGGACAAGCGGCGUCUAGCCGCAUGAAAUAGAGCAAUAACAGGUCUGUGAUGCCCUUAGAUGUCCGGGGCUGCACGCGCGCUACACUGAAAGAAUCAGAGUGCGCUUUGCCUAGUUCGGAAGAACUGGGUAACCCAAGUAAAUUCUUUCGUGCUUGGGAUAGGGAAUUGCAAUUAUUUCCCUUAAACGAGGAAUUCCCAGUAAAUGCGGGUCAUAAGCUCGCGUUGAUUACGUCCCUGCCCUUUGUACACACCGCCCGUCGCUACUACCGAUUGGAUGACUUAGUGA